UUGCGAUGAAGCAGGGAUUGGGCCAAGAUACAAUGUCUGCCGAGCUGUAAAGGGUUAGUACGUACCGCAUCUUGGUCGUAGGCAGUGUUACCGUGAGGCGGUGCUGACCGAAAGAAACGUACUUCA
rnacentral:sRNA from 12 species